AUGUCUGAAUAUGAUGACAAAGGAGACUGGAAGGAUAAAGAAGUCCCUAAGAGCAGACGGCCCGCUGUCCCUGAGGUCCUGCAAGAGGAUGCUGAAAGCGCAGGUAAAGAACUCUGCAAGACAGCCGAGGAACAGGAGGCAGAGGAACCAGAGGAGGGGCUGGCAUCGAUGUGCCGUAGCCACAAGCUCUGGGACGGCUAUAAAGAGGACAGGGCCUUUACAGGAGAACCUCUGGCCCCAGACGGAAGCAAAGUAAGGAAUGAGGCGGAACUAGGUUGGAGCGAAAGUGAUGAGGACAUGGGCUAUUUUCAGAAAGGACCUCAAGAUGAAAGUUGGAUGAACACACAAGGUGAUUUCCUUCCGGAGGAAGAGCGAGGGAGCGCCAACGAGAGGGGUGCGGAGUCGGAUGAGUCGAUGUACAAAGACAAAGAGAAGGAGGAGAAGAAAGCUAACUUCCUCACCAUGCUGUCUCCCCGAGAGGAUGGAGGCCCGUGCGGAGAUGAGGACGUUCUUAAUUUUCCUAUACGAGACCUAGUGCAAAGUCUGGGGGAGCUCGUGUCUGGAGAGGACACGGUGGAGGGCUCUACUGAAAAAGGGAAGGAAUUCACUGGGGAUGACCACCAACGGGCUGGGGAGACCUUUGCCGUGUUCCCCCCAGACAUCUCUUCUUGGAGGAAAGACGAGGCCGCAGAUGAAGAAAGCAAAGGCAAUCUGGAUGCAGUGCUUUCUGCCUCGAGUGAGACAUCUCAUCUUGAUAGAGAGACAGAGCCCACACUGUUAGGUACAGGAAAUAUUGCUUUCACAGCUGGGGCAACGGACGACAAAUGCAAAUCAAAAACCCUUCCAUAUGCACAAAGAACUGUGCUGCCAUGUUGGAGUGAUGUUGGAGAGGAGAUAGGUACGUGUCCAGAGAAUGCAGAUCAUACCCAAGAUGAGGCAGAGCUAAUUGGAGCAACCAACACAUGCUCUCCAUCAGAUAAAGAUCUUCAUCAUUUCUACGACCAUACAUGUGCCACAGAGUCCAUCUUUGACGCAAGACCACCAAUAAUACACAUCAUCAGCAACAGUGAUGAUAUCCAAGCUAACAAGACUGAUGGGGAACGCAAAAGAGAUGAUUUAAGUCAGCAUGAGUCAGCUCUUGCACUCAGUUCACCGCCAUUACAGAAACACCAUGUCGAGAUGAAGAGAGUCUCUGAAGACUCAUCUCUGACAAAGAUCAACACCACAUGGGAGUCACCGACUGGUGGUGAGGACAACAUGUGGGCAAAAAUGCCUGGGUUCUCUCAAGAGUCCAUGUUAAACACAGAAGACAGAGGCAAGCAGAACUCACAGUCUUCACUUGAAACUGCAGAGCCUGCCAAGGUGGCCUCAAAAGACCCCUUCCACACAGACGUUCAGGGUGACAUACGCCCAAGCACCUUGUUGUCCAAUCAGGGAUCUGUGGAUGACGGUUUCUUCUUCACCCAUGAGGACGAGGCUUCGGGAAUUGCUGAGCUCGGAUAUGAUGGAGACGAGUAUGAAGACAACAGGAAUUGGGAAGACGAACAGGAGAGAAUCCAGGCUUUCUACAAGUUUUACAAUGAAAGCGAUGGGGAAAUGGAUCAAGAAGGCAGGAAGACAAAAGUACACUUUUGCAUGGAUCUGUUGCCUCAAGUCUUUCACUAUGAUAGUGAGGCGGAUUUAUUGGACAGUUCUACUGAGGCAGAGGAAGAGAUGAUCCCUGAAUACAACGGGAAGAGAGAAAAUGAUACACCCACAUUGAACUCCAAUCUACAACUCAACCGCGAUGUGGUACCAGAGACUGGUCUUGGGUGGCUGAAAUCCAUCCUCAAGAUGUUCUUGGUGAUGGGGACUGGCCUGCUGGUGUUCUGGUGGACUAUGGAUGAGACUGACUUCCUUGGACUCCCUCUUUUCAAGGGAUAA
ensembl:lncRNA